rnacentral:tRNA from 1 species
GUCCAUUAGCGCAGCGGUUAGAGCUCACGACUUAUAAUCGUGUGGUCAUUGGUUCAAAUCCAAUAGUAGGUA